GAAUGGAGGGAAUAGAGGAGAAUAUUCCAUGGGAUCUCCACUCCCCCAAGGCUCCCUCUCCACUAUAAAAGGACCCCCUCUCCUCUAUUCAGCGCACAACACACAAGAGAAGAGAAGAGCUCCACUCCAAGGAAAAGCACCUACCUCCAUAGUGCUUAGAAAAUAGGGAGAGAGUAAGUGGUAGUUUGAGGAAGUGCUAGCCUGUCAACACUCUUCCCCAUGCUUGUACGUUGGCAAAUGCUUCCUUAAUUUGAGUAAGUGUUCG
rnacentral:lncRNA from 1 species